CCUACGGGUGGCAGCAGUAAGGAAUAUUGGGCAAUGGAGGCAACUCUGACCCAGCCAUGCCGCGUGAAGGAUGACGGCCCUAUGGGUUGUAAACUUCUUCUAUACGGGAAUAAACCCGGGUACGUGUACCCGGCUGAAUGUACCGUAAGAAUAAGGAUCGGCUAACUCCGUGCCAGCAGACGCGGUAAUACGGAGGAUCCAAGCGUUAUCCGGUUUCAUUGGGUUUAAAGGGUACGUGGACGGCAGUGGUGAACUCCUACAGCUUAACUGUAGAACUGCCGUUGAUACUGCAAGUCUUGAGUACAGUUGAUGUGGGCGGAAUGUGUCAUGUAGCGGUGAAAUGCUUAGAGAUGACACGGAACACCAAUUGCGAAGGCAGCUCACAAAACUGUAACUGACGCUGAGGCACGACAGCGUGGGGAUCAAACAGGAUUAGAUACCCGAGUAGUC
rnacentral:rRNA from 1 species